ACACUGUAUGGAGAGUAUCCCUCUGCCCAUGGCCACCCAUUAUUUUUAUAAAGUCUAAUUUUCCCAGAUCAAAUUAUUGUGCUCUAAAUUUUACUAAGAUGAUUCUUCUGUUAAUUUUUAGACUCUUUAACCAUGUGCAGUUUUAGCUGUUGUUGGUUCUAUUUUCUGUUCAUAAUUUCUAUCAGUUAAAAAUUAUUAACUGAUUAAAAGACAAUUGUUUCUUGGUUAAUCCAUGUGAAAUUUGAGGCAGUGUUCCUUAAUUACUGUUCUAAAAUGAAGAAAAAGUCUUUGGUGUCAAUAUAGGUUUAUAUAUAAAAUGAGGAUGGCGGCCUCUCCUGCAGGGUCGUCGAGAUGAAACGAAGUGGCCAACCCCUCAGCUCAUGGCCCAACAGUGGCUUUUCGAAUACACUGGGUUCCCACACUCUGAGGUGCCUGCGCUGAGAUGUGGGCAUGGGGAUGUGCUCAGCAGCACUGCUGUGGUUCCCAGGGCUAAAUCCCCCUAACCAGAACCGCAAGCGCUGUUACAACAACUAUCUCCAUGUGAAAAAAGCAGCUACAGGACUGAAUACACCACGGGUCACAGCUAUGGAGAAACCAUGCACCGGAGACACAGCGCAAGGACACACCUCAACAGGGAAUCUGUGACUGUCUCUGGUACUGGGGUUUUGGAUGGCUGC